CUCCAUGUGUAGCGGUGGAAUGCGUAGAUAUAUGGAAGAACACCAGUGGCGAAGGCGGCUGUCUGGUCUGCAACUGACGCUGAGGCUCGAAAGCAUGGGUAGCGAACAGGAUUAGAUACCCUGGUAGUCCAUGCCGUAAACGAUGAGUGCUAGGUGUUGGAGGGUUUCCGCCCUUCAGUGCCGGAGCUAACGCAUUAAGCACUCCGCCUGGGGAGUACGACCGCAAGGUUGAAACUCAAAGGAAUUGACGGGGGCCCGCACAAGCGGUGGAGCAUGUGGUUUAAUUCGAAGCUACGCGAAGAACCUUACCAGGUCUUGACAUCUUGCGCUAACCUUAGAGAUAAGGCGUUCCCUUCGGGGACGCAAUGAC
rnacentral:rRNA from 1 species